UUUUCAUUACACAGGAGGUGUAAAAUACAGAAUUUCUUCACUACCAUAGUCUGGAAGAUCUUGUAAAUUGCCUCCUGGAGGCACCCGUUGGGAAUAAUCGUCAUCCUGAAAGUUAAGAUCAUCUAAAUGCUAAGGAUGAAAAAGAUAAAUGAGAAAUGAAGUGCUUGUGUUAAUAAUGAGAAGUCAGCAGGUGAUGAAGGUGACAGAUGAAGAUAUGAUGAGGAAUGAAUUAACUCUGGGGACAUACCUCUUCUCCUACUAGAGCAUCUUUCAACUUUGGGGACAUACCUCUUCCCAUACUGGAGCAUCUUUCAACUUUUUGGGACAUAACUCUUUCCCUACUGGAGCAUCUUUCAACUUCUCUGAUACCAUCCCAGAAUAUCUCAUCACAUUAGAUACUCAUUAAAUCCUAAUUAUAUGA